GUACUACUGAGGAGUCGUACAAUAGGACGAAACGACCGUCUAGUGC
rnacentral:hammerhead_ribozyme from 1 species